GAAGUUGUAGUACAGAAACAGCAAACAGCGCCGGUCAGAGUUGAAAUGACAAGCGGUGAGGAAACAGCGUGUUCGUGAGAGCAGAUAUAGACGCUAGGACUGGGACUGGGAGGCUGGGAGCUGUUCUACUAGAAACGCAACGUAGGAUGUUGUGUAUUCAAGUGAUGCUGUUCCUUCUACUGGCCAGCUGUACAAGCUCCAAUGUUCCCACCACAGAAAAGACUGUUCCGCAGGGAGCGACAGUGACUGAACCAGUUUUAAACGUUUCUUCGCUGGACAAGGAUGAUCAGCUGAUGACAUACCAUCAAGAUAAAUUAUGUGCUGAAUAUUUCUGUGAUAAUGGGACAUGUAACAACCAUCCAACAUCGGAGAGCUAUUUUCAAGUAUACUCAGGAAAUCUAUGUCUCAUCAUCCCGAAUGUCAACAGCAGUAACAAUGGCCAGUACAGUGUCAUCCUGAAUGGAAAUAAGGAUGUCCUGAAACUGACUCUUCAUGUUGAAGAGGUUCCACAACAUUCCAUCUUAAGUUGGUUAGACCCUGUCAUGGCAGUAGCUGUAUUUGCAGUUGUCCUCUUGGUCAUUCUUGGUUUAAUCUACAAGAUUUUUUUCGUCAUCACACGGAAGAUUGAGCUCCUCUUCGAGCUGUGCAGCAUCUUAUGUGCUCAACCAGAAAGACAACAGUGGCAGUCCCCACCAGACCAGACAGAACCAGUCGGAUCAGAACCUCACCCUCACCACAACUCUCCAAGGAAUCUGAAGAUGAAGAGAAACAGAUACAGCCAGCAGGUGCCGCCAUUUUCGAGCGUUUCGAAACAGUGAAUCAUUUUCGAAGCAAUUGGUUCAAUUGAUUCAGAGCAUCGAAAAUCCUCGUUUCCCCAUCACUAGUCCUAACUAGGUGCAACCUGUCAGGUAAGUAAUUUCUCUAUUCCCAUUGAAAGUCAGACAAAUCACAACUAGAUAUUAUAUGUUUAAUGUUGAAAUAAUCAGAAAAUUACCUUGAAGUGUUUUUUACUUUGUAUAUUUACUCAAUUAUUUAGUCUUAUUGUGAUUCAAUCCUUGAAUAUCAGGAUUUUCAACAACAAUUUCAGAUGAUAUUUGUAUAUGUUGUUUGUUACAAAGAGUCACCUGUAGAUUGGUGGACACUAACUGAGCUGAUGGCAGGUACAGAGACAGGUGCUUCAGGAGGAGAGGAAACAUGUAGGCCUACAUCACAUUAUUAUUAUUAUCCUGAAUCUUAUUGCUUUGAUCCCAUAUUAUUAGUUGCUUUUCCAUAUUGACUGCAGCUGUAACUUACCAUAGACAUCCACUUUGUAUUUCUGCACUGUGAUCUUUUUAUUGACAAUUGUUACUGCUUUAUACAGUCCAGAUUCAUUAGUCCUGAUGUCUGUGAUGGUUAAAAUGCCCGUUUCUCGGUCUAGCUGUACUCUGCCAGUGAGUCUCUUGUCAUAAUUAGUGUAUAUUUUCCCUUGAUAUAUCUGUGCCACACGCGUGCUUUGACUGGGACUUUCAAACGUCCACAGUAUCUGAACGUCUCCGUUUAGAUCAUGAAGUCCCGGAUGCAGAUUAAGGAAACCUCCCUCCUUCACUUUCACUGUUCCAACGUCAUCAACCUCUCCACACACUGAAACGAUAUGAAAACAGGUUAAACAUACAGGCAGGUGAAUAACCUAGAGAAUGAGACCUGUUACUUCCAACAAAUGGUUGGGAACUUUAUAAGAAAAGUCGUUUGAAUGCCAUAUAUAAGACAAUCACCAUUAUGUUAAUUUUAACUGUCAUUUACAUUUAUGUGUUUAGCAGAUGCUUUUAACUAAAGCGACUUAGAAGAGAAAAAUUAAAGCAACCCAUUUAUAAUAUACAGUACAAUGCCAGUUUUAUUUGACAACUAGCAAGCGAGUCAGUGCAUUGAUUUCAGGGUGUAGCAAGUGAUUGCCUAAUUUAUUACAAUAAGAUAGGCUAUCUAUCUAUCAUUGAGAGGCUCAAUAAGAUCUGAUGCCUGUAAUUUUGCAUGCAUAUUAUACAGUAUACGUAUCUCAAAUAACCCUGAACAGCAAGUAGGUACAAAAAGACUGCCAAUGAUCACUUUACACAUCUGAUAGUGGGAAGUUGGCUAGAAUAAACCAAAUUAUGGACAGGACUUUCUGCUGUCUAUUUGUAGACUAUAAGCUGAUUUUCCCGGAAAAGUGUGGUCAUUGACAAUACAUAUAGGCUAUUUCUAGCAAUGCAGGCACAGUCAUUUGAAUGAAAGCGAUCUGAAGAGUGAAAGAGGAAGUGGUCGUGUUGAGGGUUUAGACAAUGAUGGUCCUAACCAGAAAGUAUUUCUGUGAAACUGAAUUAUGGCAUGACGCAUAUUAAACAUUUAUAUAUAUAUAUAUAUUUCUACCAUUCUAAGCUUUCUGUUAAUAUCAGAUAAGCUCAAUGUCGUAGCAAGUCAUGUCAGAUGUUUGCUCGCUUGUACUCAUGUGUCCAUAUGAGAUGAACUGCAACUUAAUUUUAUUUGACAUUUAAUGUCAGAAUUGUUUUCUUGGAAGAAAAUUUCAUUGAGAACUAUUCACAACGUACACCAUCAGCUAUGUUCCGAUAAGUUACUAGAUGAGAGAAUACUAAAACAAAUUAGAACAUUAUUUUAAAAUAAAAUAGAAAUACCUUACCUUGUUGCACACUGAUGAAAACCAAGACGAGAGCCCGAAUGCUGAUGGACAUUUUUAAGGAGCAUCAAAUAUUCAGUGCUGCGACUGGAGUUCAACUGAGCAGCAUGAACUUUUUGUAAAAAUCAGUUUCUCUUUCAUCAUCAAGAGGAAGUGACACCUGUCCUGCUCUCAUGAGAUGGUAUGAGUGUUCUUCUGAAACCUUACUCCCAACCCAGACAGCAACAUAGUGUGGCCCAGAUCCGGCCCACAUGUGGUACAUGUGGAUUAAACAUGGACCAGAUGUGGGCCGACACUAUGUUGCUGUCAGGGAAAAGCCUGUCCCAGUGUCAUCAAAUUUUGCAACAAUGGCCAUCAAUGUUAAUAGUCCAGAUUCAUUGGUCCUGAUGUCUGUGAUGGUUAAAAUUUCUAUUUCUUUGUCUUCCACUUUCAAAAGUCCACAUUAUCUGAACGUUUCAAGAUCUUCGACUGCAGAAUGCAGAAUGCAGAUUGAGGAAGCCUCCCUCCUUCACUUUAACUGUUUCAACAUCAUCAACCUCUCCACCACUGAAACAGGGUACAUAUACAGGUAAACAAACCCUGGUUACAGCCAGUUCAUACAGUUAACAAAUCAUAUGAGACAGAACCUAAAGUGUUAGAAAUAGUCAAGUGAUUUUCUAAUGUCAACCAAUGGCUCUCGAUGUAAUGUAGUCUGGGUUAUAUAUAUAUAUAUUUUCAUGCAUACACUGUAAAUAAAGCAAUGACAUUUAAUCCAUUAUGAGACCAUCACAUUUAGGAUGAGUAAAUGAGCCACCACAUUAUCUGUGUCUGUAUUGCAAUGCUAUAGCUCUGAGAUUUGACAUAGCAUGAUAUAAAGAGGUGUAAAGGAAGUUGCUUUUGUGGUUUCAGACAGUGUUGUAAGGAAAUGAAUUGGCUUGACCAGAAGUUGCUUUUUACUUUAAAGAGUGAUACCAAUAAAAUGUGGCACUUUUUAGAAUGUAUAAACCAGUGCUUUUUGCUGGAAAUUAAUGAAAAUAAAUAAAAGAAUGUUUUUUUUCUUUUAGUUUCUAAUAUGAGCUGUGCGUGAACAUAAAGAGACACCUUUAAACUCUACAGGCAGGAAAUGAUGUCACUCUUUCCACUCUUUUUUUUUUUAAAAAUGUGACUUGUGCAUGUUAUAUACAUGCUUAAUGUUAGUCUUUACUUUUAGCCAUUUUCAACACAUUCAUCAACAAAAUGCAUUUUGAUGUGAGUGAAUCCUUGAGAUGUGCUUUGAAUGGAUUGCUGUAUUAUCAGAAGGACAUGUAAAUGAUGCGGAAAUAUAAUGUGGCCAAACUCUAAAAUGACAGUCUCUUAUAUGUUUAAUUCACAGAUGAGUGGAACAUAUGUGUUCAGAAUACUUAAGUGUUCUAGUUUAAGAAUAAAGUUAAAAACAUUGUCUAGCCUAUUUGGAACAACUGAUUUGAAUUUGACAGCUGAGCUGAAGCCAUCUUGUGCCAUUUUUUUUUUUACAUUAACAUUAACACACAUCUAGAUAAAAUUCUGCAGUGCAGAUAUCCUGCCAUGUACUUUAUAUUCUGAACCCAGAUUUAUUACAGGAGUAGUGUGCUGUUAAUCACAACAUGGAUUACUAUUCUUCAUUUGCAGCUUAAAAAUAAACUUAUUCUGUUUAUUCUGUGGUAACUGUAGUUUGUAAAUUCUACUGAAUCAGUCAAUGGAACAGGAAGCCCAUGAGACAUGCACAAUAAAAUCAUUCACAAAAAGGUAAGACGCCAAAACGACAUAAUGUGAAAGCAUCAUUAAAGUGGAAAAUUGGUAAUGAAAUAGUUUGUCUUUCACUUUGUCUGAGUAUUUCACAAAACUUUCUCACCCUCUAUGCAUGGACCAAACCACUGCGUGAUGUAUCCACAACAUCCGCCUAGCCAAAGGCAACUUCUUACAAAGUGUCACAAGAUGACAACAGCGCAGCCAGCAGUCUUUGUGGAUCCCGGAGUGUUAUUGAUAUUUAAUGAAUGUGGGGGAAUUAUUCACACUUAGAAACCUCAUCUGGCUCAGGACUAAGCUGGAAAAACAGGGCAUGUUGUUUUUUCCAUGUUAAAUUAGAAGCCAGCAAUAAGGAUUCAAAUGAUGUUUGACUGCCUGAAGAGUGUAACCACUGGGACACUGGUGCUGUGUUUUGAGUGAGAUCCAUUUGAGUGUGGAUCAACCAGUGGGAUGUGUGGAAAAUCCCAACUUUCAAGUGAUUCUGCAUCCUUUGAGCAGCUCGUACUGGAACAACAGCUGUUAGUUAUAAUGAUGUUUAUGUGUCCUUGAACUGCACAAGACCACAGAAUGUCCCAUUUGUACAUUUUAUAAUUCUUUUAGCAUUAUUAUUAAGGGUUUGAACACUUAAGAUUGUCCACUAGAGGAUGCCAAAGGGAUUAAAAAAAUCCUGUUAAGUCUAAUUAAUAAUUAAUAUAGCAUUAAUGUGAAUGCCAAAUAACUACUGAUUUUAUUUGUACAGUAGGACCAUUGUGCACUGACAAUAUCUCCUUUGUUUGUUAUUUCCAAAAUUAUUUAGUAUAAUAUAUAGAAUAUUUUUAUAAAAGCACAAUUUUGUAAUUGAAAUUACGUUAUGCAUUUAUAAGUAUCUAUACAGAUACUGUAGCACAUUUUCUACUCAACAGCUCAUAAGCAACGACUGCGAGUCAGUCACUUUAUCAGAGCUGUUGUGAUCUCAUAAGCUGUCAGUUUUUUUUCUGUGUUUUUUAAUUUUUUAAAUUUUUAUUAUAUUUAAACAUUUAUUUAGGAUGUUUUUUAGGACCAACAUGUAUUUUCUUAAGCUGUUUCAUCAAACCCUGACUUAUCAGUGGAGAUUCAAGAUUGUUGUAUUUGAAAAGAUAUACAGCAUUUGUAUCACUGAAUCAUUUACACGAGCUGUUGGUUUUGGAUUGGACCACAAUAACUGAUAACUAUAGGGUGAAUUCAGGAUUUAUUGUUAUAUAAAUUGUGAGCAGUGCUAUUUUUUGUAUUUUUAAUGCCUUUUAUUAAUUAGAUGUAUUGUUUUUAUUUUAUUGUAUAAAACUGCAGUUAUUUAAAAAAAUAUUUAUACUGAAGGAUGUAAGGAUUCUCAAUAGUUUGUAUUACUUUGAGAGAGCAACCAUACAUCUGUGUUGUGUUUGUAUGGUUUAAUUAUACCAUUUAUCAUUUAAUCAUUUUACUAUUACUAUCGUCAUUUUAUGUAUUUUAUAUUUCUAAUUAUUUCUUUUUUAUUGUUGUUUAAUCUUAUUGUUGUUUAAUUAUUAUUGUGUGGCUUUAAGGGAUGUUUGUCUUCAUGACUAUAAGAGAAUGUCUCCAUUUCAAGGUUUUUAACGUCACAGGAUGAUGUUGUGAAGUAUUAAUUUUCCAUGGUUUUUCUCUUGGUAUAACAACACUUGUUGGAUUUGUACUGGUCAGAUGAAAUCUAGCAUUGAAACACACAACUAAGAUUAUUCAAUAAACUCAGCUGUUGUUAUUAUCAUCA